GCUCCGUAGGUGAACCUGCGGAAGGAUCAUUACCGAGUGAGGGUCUCUCAGGCCCGACCUCCCCCCCCCUGUUUUUGUGACCUUUUUGCUUUGCCGGGCCCACCUCGAUGAGAGGCCGCCGGAAGCACACCGCUCUGGGGCCGUGCCCGUCCGUAGCCCCCUUAAGAUCUUUAUAAACCUGUGGUCUUAUUUUAUGGUUAUAAUUAAAAAAAACUUUCAACAACGGAUCUCUUGGUUCUG
rnacentral:misc_RNA from 1 species